UGGGGGAAUUUUGGACAAUGGGCGAAAGCCUGAUCCAGCAAUGCCGCGUGUGUGAAGAAGGCCUUCGGGUUGUAAAGCACUUUUGUCCGGAAAGAAAUCCUUGGCUCUAAUACAGUCGGGGGAUGACGGUACCGGAAGAAUAAGCACCGGCUAACUACGUGCCAGCAGCCGCGGUAAUACGUAGGGUGCAAGCGUUAAUCGGAAUUACUGGGCGUAAAGCGUGCGCAGGCGGUUUGCUAAGACCGAUGUGAAAUCCCCGGGCUCAACCUGGGAACUGCAUUGGUGACUGGCAGGCUAGAGUAUGGCAGAGGGGGGUAGAAUUCCACGUGUAGCAGUGAAAUGCGUAGAGAUGUGGAGGAAUACCGAUGGCGAAGGCAGCCCCCUGGGCCAAUACUGACGCUCAUGCACGAAAGCGUGGGGAGCAAACAGGAUUAGAUACCCUGGUAGUCCACGCCCUAAAACGAUGUCAACUAGUUGUUGGGGAUUCAUUUCCUUAGUAACGUAGCUAACGCGUGAAGUUGACCGCCUGGGGAGU
rnacentral:rRNA from 1 species